AUAUCUAUGGAUGCACACUGAUGAUGGGACAUACUUAUGCUUUCUAACAGCUAGAGAACGGAGAUAUACACUAUAAAGACUUUUCUAGAAGCAUUUUAAGUCGUGGAUAUUGGUCCGGCCUAUAGAUCCGGCAGCGGCCCCUAUAUAGUAUACUGGGGCUUCGCCCCAGUAUACUAAUACACUAUUUUAUAUACAGAUAUCAAGUACAAUCAGCAACGUUGAUGCAGUUGGGUCUUGGUGGUGUAGUGGAGAGGCUGGUGUGGACUGCACGGAUGUGGUCAGUGGUUCCGGUCGGGACUACUAACUAAAACUAUGCUGCAAUGUUUGAUUUUUUUUAAUCACUUUUUUGCUAUUUUUUUCUUUUUUGGCAUUUUUAGGUGAAGAAAUAAACACC